UCAGAUUUCUCUCUAAGCUUCUCCUCUCUCUUUCAAAGCAUAGCAACAACCACAAGUUUCCAAGGGUUCUUGGAUAAACCCAAGCCCUUGCAAGAUAAGUAUUUGAAAAGAAAGGAAGGUACUUCAAGGUAACUACAAGGUGGUACAACAAGGUACAGGAGCUAGUAGAUCUCCCCAGUAGGAGAACAGGACAUCCAGCGGCA